CAGCAGCCACGGUAAUACGAAGGGUGCAAGCGUUAAUCGGAAUUACCGGGCGUAAAGCGUGCGUAGGCGGUGAGUUAAGUCUGCUGUGAAAUCCCCGGGCUCAACCUGGGAAUGGCAGUGGAUACUGGCUCGCUAGAGUGUGUCAGAGGAUGGUGGAAUUCCCGGUGUAGCGGUGAAAUGCGUAGAGAUCGGGAGGAACAUCGGUGGCGAAGGCGGCCAUCUGGGACAACACUGACGCUGAGGCACGAAAGCGUGGGGAGCAAACAGGAUUAGAUACCCCAGUAGUCCCUGUCUCUUAUAC
rnacentral:rRNA from 1 species